AUGUCCAAGGCCGUGUCGCGCAUUCCGUCGAGCACCCUGACCUCCCUCCUCACGCGCGCCCUGAAUCCCCACGUCGCCGUCGUCGACCUCAUCACCACCCACCUCACGGCCGACGCGGAACCCACCAAGAUCCUCGACCUCUCCGGCCUGCUCCCCUACCUCGGCCAGGACGAGCUCACCGCCGUCGUGCUCCACGCCGGCCACUCUCACCCGCUUUCCACCCUCCGCUUCCUCAUCGCGCUGCCGCCGCCGCUCCAGCCGUCGCCUCCCCACCUCGCCUUCCUCGCGCACUCCCUCGCCACCACCCGCUUCUUCUCCCACGCGCUCGACGCGCUCUCCCACCUCCUCCGCCUCCACCCAACCCACGACGCCCUCCCCACUCUCCUCCUCUCCUACCAGACCGCGCCCCACCCCUCCCUCCCCAGCCUCCUCGUCAAGGCGCUCCUCCGUCGCGCCCGCCUUCGCCACGCAUUCCACGCCGCCCUGCGCGCGGCCGCUUCCGGCUUCCCACCCGACACCGUCGCCUUCAACGCACUCCUCGCCGCGCUAUCUCGCGCCGAGCGUUUCAAUGAGCUCUGGGCCGCACGGGCAGCCAUGUCGCGUGCUGGGGUGCGCCCCAACGCGCACACGUUCAACAUCCUCGUCGCCGCGCUCUGCCGAGGUGAAGACGCCGAGCGCGUGCAGGGCUUCUUAGAGGAGCUGGAGGAGCAAGGUUUCGAGCCAGACGUGGUGACUUACAACACCCUUCUUGUUGGGUAUUGCCGCAGGGGGAGGCUGCAGGACGCUCUGCACCUGUUCGAUGUUAUGCCGCCCAGGGGUGUUGAACCAGACUUAGUGUCACAUACUGUCCUGAUGGACGGGCUGUGCAAAGCCGGGAGAUUGAGCGACGCUAGACGCAUGUUUGACAGGAUGGUGCACAGUGGGGUGAGCCCCGAUGCUGUCGCUUAUAGUGUUCUUAUCGCAGGGUACUGCAAUGAGUGCAGAGUGAAGGAGGCAAGGUUGCUGCUGAUGGAGAUGGUGGGGAAUGGGCUCUCGCCUGAAGGAUUCGCUCUCAAGAGUGUGAUUGAGAGUCAUCUCAAAAUUGGGAAGCUGCUCACUUGCUUGAAUAUGGUGUCGCCUUUAAGGAAAUAUGGUGUUGCCAUUCCGUUGGAGAGUUACAAUUGCUUGAUUGGUGCAUUGUGCGAAGAAAUGCGCCCUCAUGCUGCCAGGGGUUUGUUCCAGUGGAUGAUAGAGGAUGGGCACAGUCCUAGCUUGGAGAUGUAUAAUAUGGUAGUAGAUUGCUACUGCCAGUGCGGCAGUGUGGACGAGGCUUUAGAUAUAAAGGUUGAGAUGAGCUCUAGAGGAGUGAAGCCAGAUUUUGAUACUUACCGUACGCUAGUAACCUGCCUUUGCAGUGUGGGGAGGAGCUCAGAUGGCAAAUCGGUUAUGGCAGAGAUGAUUGAGUCAGGUCUCCAGCCGAAUGAGUCUAUUUGUGCUGCUUUGGUUUGUGGGUUCUGCAAGGAAGGUUCUCUUAAUAAAGCAGAAUUGAUCCUGAAGGCUUUUGUUCUUGAUUUGCAGGUCUGCUGCAAUAAGAGCUAUAAUACUCUGAUGAGAGCUUACUGUAUGACCAGGAGCACCACAGAGUCAUUAGAAUUGCAGAACAGGAUGUUGGAACUGGGUUUUGUCCCAAGCAGUGAGACAUGUCGAUCUCUUGUUUAUGGGCUCUCAAGAAGCAUUGCUUAA
rnacentral:rRNA from 1 species